GAAUUAGGGAAGGGAGAGGGAAUGAGGCCUUUAUGGAUAUCCUGAGCCUGACCCACCUCCUGCUCUCCCCAG
rnacentral:miRNA from 1 species